CAGUAUUCCCCUCCUUUGUUCGGUUGUGGUAGCCAGAAGAAUUUGGUGGAGUCAUGUGGGGAUCUUUAUGUAGUUGAUAGAUAUCUUGAUGGAGAUAGGAGAACAUGGAAUGAUUAUGAGAAUCUUGAUGUUAGGCGUCUUAGUUUCUCUUUUCGUCGAAGGAGAUACAGGAUGUGUAGUCCUAAAGCUAUUGCUUUCAGAAUUCAUAAGCUUGAUGAAGAGUGGGGUACAUGGGUUGAUGUGAAAUCAUUGGGUGAUAGAGCCUUUGUUUUGGGUGUGGAUUGUUCUUUCUCCAUUUCAUCUACUGAUUUUUUGGGAGGUAAAGGGAACUGUGUUUACUUCACAGACGAUGAUGAUGUUAAGGGAAAAGGAUUAAAAAGUGAUAGCAUUUUCCUGUUCCGAUUAGAGGAUCACAUCAUUGAGAAAGUAACAACAUUACCUGAGUACUCUGACGUAUUCUGGCCACCCAAAAUUUUCUCAGCAUGACCAAAUUUGGCCAGAAGUUUAAUGUGACCUGUUAAAAUUUCUGCAGUUAUGAAGGCGUAGGCUACUCCAACAUGUAAAUCAAUCAGAAUUUAGUUUCAGGCCCUCAUGAUCAACACCUUCCAUCGCAUUCUCUCUAGUGUAGUCAAUGUUGGUACUUCAAUCUUACAUAAGCAUGUGACUUGAGAUGUUGAUGAACCACAUGAAUUGAGGGAUGUUUAUGUACUAUCAACGUGUUUACAUAAGAGUUAUAUUUAACAAAAUAGAUAAACAGUGCACUUGCUUAUGUAAACAAGUUGAUAGUACAUAAACAUCCCUUAAUUCAUGUGGUUCAUCAACAUCCCAAGUCACAUGCUUAUGUAAGAUUGAAGU
rnacentral:misc_RNA from 1 species